UACAGAGGGUGCGAGCGUUGUCCGGAAUCACUGGGCGUAAAGGGCGCGUAGGCGGCUUUUCAAGCGUGCGGUGAAAGCUCGGGGCUUAACUCCGAGUCUGCCGUGCGAACUGGGAGGCUUGAGUCUGGUAGAGGUCGAUGGAAUUCCGGGUGUAGCGGUGGAAUGCGUAGAGAUCCGGAAGAACACCGGUGGCGAAGGCGGCCUGCUGGGCAGUGGCUGACACUGAGGCGCGACGAGCGUGGGGAGCAAACAGG
rnacentral:rRNA from 1 species